UUGCUGAGUUAUUGCUAAUUAUCCGGUCAUCACUACCAGUAGAAUGUUCCUUGUACUGCUGUCAUCUUGUUCAUGUUAACAUUUUAAAUACAUCAUUCAGACAUUUAAGUACCAGCUGGAGCAGCACUGUGAACGGGCUUUCUUUAGUGACUGAUGUGUGUCCUGCUGGAGGUGCACUAACAGUAAAACCAGGCAUAAUAUCACCCAAAUUUAUCCUCAACAACAAUUUGGAUCAUCGGUGACAGUGAAGAAUGGGCUAAAGCUACAUUUAAGCCAGACAGGCUUGAUCUCUCAGUCAUAACCAAAUUUAUUUCUACCCCACACACUCCUACCCUAAUGUUUACAUCACACUGUUUAUUACAGAACAUGAUGGUGAAACUGAAGUUAAGUAAAAUGCAGUAUAUGUCCAUGCUGGUAGUCUGUGGAGAGCUGGAAAGUCACAGGGUGCUGGCUUUUCCUCAUUUCCCAUUGUCUGAAUGCCUAUAAAAGCAGCUUAAACAAGGAGGAGGAGCCAGCCUAGCCAUCUCUAUUAGGAGAGGCUGCUACAUAGGAGGAUGAGAUGAAAGGGGAGUCACCAGCCACCAUCAGGAGAGGAACUAGGAGUUGCUAAUGGGACCAGAAACCUCCAUAGGGGAAGGAAUGUUCAAAGCAGAAGGGAAUCAGGCAGCUGGUGCAGAGGAAUGGAGAAGAAAGGGACCUGAUGACAGAAAAUCAUAUGCCAGGUACCGAGGUGAGAGAAAGGGAGAAGCGUAGAGCAAAAACUGAGGUGUGAUUGGUUU